rnacentral:rRNA from 1 species
UACCCGCCCGGAUACUACGAGCAUUAGCUUGAAAUCCAAAGGACUUGGCGGGGCUUUAGACCCCCCUAGAGGAGCCUGUUCUACAACCGAUAAUCCUCGUUUAACCUCACCCUUCCUUGUUUACCCCGCCUAUAUACCGCCGUCGUCAGCUAACCCUGUGAAGGUUCAAUAGUUAGCACAAUUGAUAUAACCAAAAACGUCAGGUCGAGGUGUAGCGGAUGGAGGGGGAAGAAAUGGGCUACAUUCUCUUUAAUAGAGCAUACGAAUGGUGAACUGAAAACUCAUCUGAAGGAGGAUUUAGCAGUAA